AUUCUCUGGGAAGAAUAAAGGAGAAGUUUAUCUUCCCACCUACCUCCCAUUGCCUGUUUUUCAUUGGUCAAAAUUAAGAAUUAACUCCCUCACAUUUCCAAGUUUACAUCAUAUGACUGCUCCAACUACAUGGGAUGCCAAACCGCAAACCUGACGUAUGUAUGGUGUUCCUGUUUCAUUCAAGUCUGGAAACGAUGGGAAGAGCAAGAACCUCUAGGUUUGGUGCUCUGGAAAAAGAAUAAGAAUUGCAUUCAAAUAGUCAGGCUUCAAGUUGCUUCUGCCUCUGUGUGAAGCAAAUAGUUACAACUCACUUGGAAACUCUCAGGCUCCUGGACUGUAAAUGAGGAUAAUGAUACUCACCCUACUAACCUCAGGGACUGUUCUAAGAAUGAAAUGAAAUGAGACUGAGCUCUGAAAAUGCUUAAAUGCUUUUCAAAGUAGAGUGAUUGUGCUUUCUGUAGCAUCAAAGACAGUCUUGUAUAACUGGGCAAAGUCAACUGGACGGGAUCUGACAAUAGAGACUGGCUUGAAGGGCUGGAAAAAGAAGAAAAUGCCCCAAAUCUCUGCUUCUCCUACAAUGUGGAAAUCGCCCCAUAUCACACUGCACCAGGUAGGGUUAAAUUGAUCCCAAAUGUUUCAGGAAUUUUUAAUGCCCUUGGAAGAGACACAGCCAAUUCUUCAUCUGCCGAAAGUAAUGCUGCUAACCUACUAUCUGUCAGUUUCCUCAGUGCUUUGAAGAUUUCUCUAAAGUCAUUUGACUUGGUUUCCCUUUGAUUUCAAAUUCCUGCUUGACCACUUACUAUAUGUAUGACCUUGAGCCUUUUUAACUCAUCUGAGUCUCUCUGUUGCCUCAUCUAUAUAUUGUGAAUAAGAAGACAUUACUGUAGGGUUAUUAGGAACUUUAGAAAUAAUACUUCUUAUACUAGCAUAGUGCCUGAUCCAUAGGCAUCCAGGACAUGUCAGCUAAGAUCAUUGAUUAUUGCUGUCGUUUUUAGUAUCAUACACUAGAAAGAACAACAGCUUUGAAACAAGACAAUCCCGCAUUUAAAUCAGCUCUGUCACUUACAAAAAGUGUAACCCCGAAUAACUUAAGAAAAUGUUUUGAAGUUCAAUUUUGAGAUAAUGAUGGAUGAUUUCAGAAAUUGUGAGAAUUUCAGAGGUAUCGGCAGUAGGUUGAAUGGUGAAACCUCCAAAAGAUAUAUCUAUGUCCCAAACUCAGAACCUGUGAAUGUGACAUUAUUUGGGAAAAGGGGGUUUUGCAGAUAUAAUUAAGGAUCCUGAGAUGAGAUCACCCUGGAUUUUCUAGAUAGGGCCUAAAGCCAAUAACGAGUGUCUAAGACAGAAGAAGACACAAAGAAGAGGAGAAAGGAAUGGGGUCACAGAGGCAGAGACUGGAGCAAUGCAGCCACAAGCCAAGGAACACCUGGACCCACCAGAAGCUGGAAGAGGAAAGAAGGGAUUUCUUUUUCUUCUAGAGCCUUGGGACGGAGCAUGGCCCUGCUAACAACUUAUUUUCAGACUUCUAGAUUCUAGAACUAUCAGAUAAUAAAUUUCUAUUGUUUUAA